rnacentral:tRNA from 1 species
GCCGUUCAAGCUUUGUCACAUCCUUGGCAAUUUCAACAGCGCCCCUGAUUUUGCCGUCUUGGACGAUGGGAUAUG